AAAACAAAGUGCAUCAAUCCUGACCAAUGUGUUAAAAGACGUGCAGGAUCCGAUCAAUUUGUUUUUCCCUCAUUUCCAGUCACGGAGAUAACGGCGCACUGGCUCUUGUUAAUCAAGUUAAAUUUAAUCUCUUUCCAACAAUUUUCACAAGAAAACAAAACAGUUAAAAGCAGGGCUUGUGUUGUGUUGACCGGAUAUUUGCCGUACUUGACCGUUUAUUUUGACGGAGAAAGAAUAGAAAGAAUACGCAUGCAGACGAACUGACAUUUUAUUGCAGAUGUAGCUAAAUCACCCGAGAAAAGAUUCCCAUCUGAACAUCUGAGCUGGACACCGCUCAGCACAGCUCGCUGUCAGCGCAUACAUAAGGUGCACAGCGAGCUGAAGAUGUGGAGAGGGGCUUGGAGCAUGUCGCAGAACCAGGGCGCAUGCGGGAAGGUCAGAAAAUGUUCCCUGAUUAUGAAACUUUGGCUGAAUAGCGCUUGUUCCUGUCUCCAAUGUGGCAACACAUCCCUGAGCCUGUCUGAGGAGAAUCCCAGAAUCUCAUGUCUUCUUCAGCUCAGAAAAUGCCAAUUACGCACAAGCGUGACCCGUCAACCCGGUCUCACAGUAAGACUGGGUUGGAACUGUUCAGGUUUACGCAGACAAUCUUUACAUUUAGAAUUGACUUACAGAUAUAACAUUAAUUCAGUAAAAUAUAAAGCAUUUUAUUUAAAUAUCCAUUAUUUUACAAGCACAGAGAGCCGCACCAGAUGGAUGGAAGAGCCGCGGGUUGCCGACCCCUGGUAUAGCCUAUAAAAUGACGUUUUCUCCAGGACCAGAGAGGACACAAACUCAAUACAUGUCUUUUAUUGUGAGGUAAUAAUUUCUCAGAGUUUUGCGGUUGCGGGCGGGAGUAGACAUGCACACAGCGGGUGCGGGAGUGUUACACACACGUUGCGGUUGCAGGCGGUAAUGGUCAGAAAUUCAGCGGGAGUGAGCAGGAGCGGGAUAUUUAAUAAAGAUAAUUAAGAAAGUGACACAACAUGAAAAUGUACUCUGUUGUGAACACAGAUGACUUAAUGAGGCGAGGAGGAAGCUCCCUCUUGCUGAGGAGAAGACAGACCUCCAGUCUGAGGCGGAAGCCAUUGAAAGGCCUCAAAGAAGAAUUAAGCCAAGCAUAUGUCCAGGACCGGGCCUCAUCAGAGGAUGAAGCCCAGACCCCUGGAAGAGGGCUUCCCCCACCCCCAGCCAUCCCCCCAGUGAGGAGAAGGUUCAUCCUCCCCAAUAACCUGUACCUCUGCCUGACCUGACCAAUUACCAGCAUGUCAUGACCCUGGGGACAUCAUUGCGGCAGGCCAUUGACCUGCAGGGUCACCAGGGAACCCAGGGGGUUCCAGUUCCAACUCCCUCUUCAUCUGGUGGGAUGAUGAGGGAGGAAUUGGCUGUCCAGGUGCCUACAGUUUGCCCUAGCUCCUCUCCAGGGCAGUGGCAGCAGAGGGACGACACAACAUGUAAGGUUUUUAUGGUUUACACUCACCCAGUCCUCACAUGCCAGUUUCAGUAUACAAACACACAUGAUCCACGCAUACAUACU